rnacentral:rRNA from 1 species
UACGUAGGGUGCAAGGCGUUGUCCGGAAUUAUUGGGCGUAAAGAGCUCGUAGGCGGUUUGUCGCGUCUGCUGUGAAAACCCGAGGCUCAACCUCGGGCCUGCAGUGGGUACGGGCAAACUAGAGUGCGGGUAGGGGAGAAUGGAAUUCCUGGUGUAGCGGUGAAAUGCGCAGAUAUCAGGAAGAACACCCGUGGCUAAGGCGGCUCUCUGGGACGGUACUGA